GACAGAGGAUGCAAGCGUUAUCCGGAAUGAUUGGGCGUAAAGCGUCUGUAGGUGGCUUUUUAAGUCCGCCGUCAAAUCCCAGGGCUCAACCCUGGACAGGCGGUGGAAACUACCAAGCUGGAGUACGGUAGGGGCAGAGGGAAUUUCCGGUGGAGCGGUGAAAUGACUGUAGAUAUGUGGAGGAACACCGAUGGCGAAGGCAGCCCCCUGGGUCAAA
rnacentral:rRNA from 1 species